CAGUCGAGCGAAUGGAUUAAGAGCUUGCUCUUAUGAAGUUAGCGGCGGACGGGUGAGUAACACGUGGGUAACCUGCCCAUAAGACUGGGAUAACUCCGGGAAACCGGGGCUAAUACCGGAUAACAUUUUGAACCGCAUGGUUCGAAAUUGAAAGGCGGCUUCGGCUGUCACUUAUGGAUGGACCCGCGUCGCAUUAGCUAGUUGGUGAGGUAACGGCUCACCAAGGCAACGAUGCGUAGCCGACCUGAGAGGGUGAUCGGCCACACUGGGACUGAGACACGGCCCAGACUCCUACGGGAGGCAGCAGUAGGGAAUCUUCCGCAAUGGACGAAAGUCUGACGGAGCAACGCCGCGUGAGUGAUGAAGGCUUUCGGGUCGUAAAACUCUGUUGUUAGGGAAGAACAAGUGCUAGUUGAAUAAGCUGGCACCUUGACGGUACCUAACCAGAAAGCCACGGCUAACUACGUGCCAGCAGCCGCGGUAAUACGUAGGUGGCAAGCGUUAUCCGGAAUUAUUGGGCGUAAAGCGCGCGCAGGUGGUUUCUUAAGUCUGAUGUGAAAGCCCACGGCUCAACCGUGGAGGGUCAUUGGAAACUGGGAGACUUGAGUGCAGAAGAGGAAAGUGGAAUUCCAUGUGUAGCGGUGAAAUGCGUAGAGAUAUGGAGGAACACCAGUGGCGAAGGCGACUUUCUGGUCUGUAACUGACACUGAGGCGCGAAAGCGUGGGGGAGCAAACAGGAUUAGAUACCCUGGUAGUCCACGCCGUAAACGAUGAGUGCUAAGUGUUAGAGGGUUUCCGCCCUUUAGUGCUGAAGUUAACGCAUUAAGCACUCCGCCUGGGGAGUACGGCCGCAAGGCUGAACUCAAGGAAUUGACGGGGGCCGCACAAGCGGUGGAGCAUGUGGUUAAUUCGAAGCAACGCGAAGAACCUUACCAGGUCUUGACAUCCUCUGAAACCCUAGAGAUAGGGCUUCUCCUUCGGAGCA
rnacentral:rRNA from 1 species